CCUACGGGCGGCUGCAGUCGAGAAUCUUUCACAAUGGGGGCAACCCUGAUGGAGCGACGCCGCGUGGAGGAUAAGGUCUUCGGAUUGUAAACUCCUGUCAUGCGAGAACAAGGUUGCAGGGCUAACACCUUUGCAAAUUGAUGGUACCGCAAGAGGAAGAGACGGCUAACUCUGUGCCAGCAGCCGCGGUAAUACAGAGGUGGAAAGCGUUGUUCUGAAUCACUGGGCGGAGGGGUGGCGUAUGUGGUGUGAAAGCCCGGGGCUCAACCUCGGAAUUGCAUCCGAUACUGCCAUGCUGGAGUACUGAAGAGGUGACUAGAAUUCUAGGUGUAGCAGUGAAAUGCGUAGAUAUCUAGAGGAAUACCAACGGCGAAGGCAGGUCACUGGGCAGUUACUGACACUGAGGCACGAAGGCCAGGGGAGCAAACGGGAUUAGAUACCCUUGUAGUC
rnacentral:rRNA from 1 species